rnacentral:rRNA from 1 species
CACGUAGGGCGCAAGCGUUGUCCGGAAUUAUUGGGCGUAAAGAGCUCGUAGGCGGUCUGUUGCGUCUGCUGUGAAAACCCGGGGCUUAACCCCUGGCUUGCAGUGGAUACGGACAGACUAGAGGUAGGUAGGGGAGAAUGGAAUUCCUGGUGUAGCGGUGAAAUGCGCAGAUAUCAGGAGGAACACCGGUGGCGAAGGCGGAUCUCUGGGCCAUUACUGACGCUGAGGAGCGAAAGCGUGGGGAGCGAACAGG